GGAUUAAGAGCUUGCUCUUAUGAAGUUAGCGGCGGACGGGUGAGUAACACGUGGGUAACCUGCCCAUAAGACUGGGAUAACUCCGGGAAACCGGGGCUAAUACCGGAUAACAUUUUGAACUGCAUGGUUCGAAAUUGAAAGGCGGCUUCGGCUGUCACUUAUGGAUGGACCCGCGUCGCAUUAGCUAGUUGGUGAGGUAACGGCUCACCAAGGCAACGAUGCGUAGCCGACCUGAGAGGGUGAUCGGCCACACUGGGACUGAGACACGGCCCAGACUCCUACGGGAGGCAGCAGUAGGGAAUCUUCCGCAAUGGACGAAAGUCUGACGGAGCAACGCCGCGUGAGUGAUGAAGGCUUUCGGGUCGUAAAACUCUGUUGUUAGGGAAGAACAAGUGCUAGUUGAAUAAGCUGGCACCUUGACGGUACCUAACCAGAAAGCCACGGCUAACUACGUGCCAGCAGCCGCGGUAAUACGUAGGUGGCAAGCGUUAUCCGGAAUUAUUGGGCGUAAAGCGCGCGCAGGUGGUUUCUUAAGUCUGAUGUGAAAGCCCACGGCUCAACCGUGGAGGGUCAUUGGAAACUGGGAGACUUGAGUGCAGAAGAGGAAAGUGGAAUUCCAUGUGUA
rnacentral:rRNA from 1 species